rnacentral:antisense_RNA from 1 species
UUGGCGGUGGGGUCGACCUCGCGGGUCACCACCAGGUAAUUCCGCAGCGCAAUGGCGUGCAGGUGCUC